rnacentral:sRNA from 1 species
UUUCUUCUCAGGCAUUUAUCCGGCAAAGGCGAUUUCAAAGUCAUAUUCGUUAAAGCUCUCCCUCCAAAUGAGGGUCUGCGCUACGACAUCUUUACAACAGUUCACUUUGCCGUGGCAUCGAAGAACACUACAUUCAGAUUCGAAGUAAAUUUCGUUAAUGACAGCAUCCGCAUGACCGUAUAUUCGGGCACAACGGAUCCGAAGCCGUAGCAGUCCUCGAAUGAUUGGAUCUUCAUAGUAAACUUGCAAUUACAAAUGUACAAAAAUGCAAUGAAUUGCAUUGAAUCGAAUGAAUAAAAGACGAGCGCUCUUUUAUUUGAAUUA